rnacentral:rRNA from 1 species
GACAGAGGGUGCAAGCGUUGUUCGGAAUUACUGGGCGUAAAGCGCGUGUAGGCGGCUCUGUAAGUCGGGUGUGAAAUCCCACGGCUCAACCGUGGAAGUGCACUCGAAACUACAGGGCUAGAGUCCUGGAGAGGAAGGUGGAAUGCUUGGUGUAGAGGUGAAAUUCGUAGAUAUCAGGCGGAACACCGGUGGCGAAGGCGGCCUUCUGGACAGUGACUGACGCUGAGACGCGAAAGCGUGGGGAGCAAACAGG